UGAGGACGCUGAGCUGCACUUGGCAGCUCCAAGACAAUGGCACAGUGUACGCCUGAUGCCAGCCCGGCCAAGGUGAUCCAGGAUCCAAAGGCUGACAUUAAGGACUCGAGUGAAGUUUCAAGUGAGUCUGCAUCAGCUACGCUGGUCAAAGUCAGACCUGCAGAGCUGGGGCUGAUUCGAAGCUUGUCCAAGUCAGAUUCUGACCUGUUGGCAUCACCACUCGGAGAAGAGGAUGGAGGUCUGGCCGGCCGCAGUGGAUCGGUGUCUAACUGCAGCUCUGGGCAGCCGUCCAUGGAGCGCAUGCCUUCCUUUGCCUCUGAGUGGGAUGAGAUUGAGAAGAUCAUGAACUUGAUUGGAGCAGGGAUUGAAACGUCCAAAAACAAACAGCCGACACCAAGCACAGAUGGGGCCUGUGGUAAAGCCCUGGACCAGCCGGUGGGAGAGUGGCUGGAGCACGUGGGGCUGCCGCAGUACGAGAGCAAGUUCCUGCUCAAUGGCUUCGACGACCUACGAUUCAUGGGAAGUAACGUGAUGGAGGACCAGGACCUCAGAGACAUCGGGAUCACCGACCCCGGACACAGGAAGAAAAUCCUCCAUGCGGCACGCAGCUUGCCCAAGGUAAAAGCAUUGGGCUGUGAUGGCAGUACAUCUCUCGCCUCUUGGCUGGACGGCCUUGGCCUGCACGAAUAUCUGCCCAACUUCCUUUCAAGCGGCUACCGCACACUGGAGUGUGUUAAGAACCUGUGGGAGCUGGAAAUCGUUAAUGUUAUUAAGAUUGGUCCCCUGGGCCACAGGAAGAGGAUCAUUGCCUCUCUAGCAGAGAGACCUUAUGAAGAGGCUCCGACUAAGUCCCGUCGUCUGUCUCCUAUUUUGUUUCAUGACCUCCUGUCCCAGACAACAUCUCCCCUCAGUCAGAUGGACCCCUACACCAGUCGCUCCAUGGACAUGCUCCUUCCCCUAACUGAGUCGGAACGGAGGCGGAGAGGAGUCGACCAAGACUGUAGUAUAUCUCUGCGGUCUUAUAGUGAGAGGCCGCGCUCUGUAGACAGACAAAGUGAGCGGCACAAAGAGUCUCGUUUAAACCUCCGGCCACCGAGCCACUCUGCUACCUACGCCACGGUAUCCGCCUGGCAUCACCAGCCUGAGAAACUCAUCCUGGACUCGUGUGGGUAUGAGGCGACUUACCUAGGAUCAAUGAUAAUCAGGGAUCUACGAGGGAUUGAGUCCACACAAGAUGCCUGUGCUAAGAUUAGGAAAUCAAAGGACUCAAGAAAGGGCCCAGUUGUCAUACUGUCUAUUACUUACAGAGGGGUAAAGUUCAUAGAUGCAGCCACGAAGACUAUAGUUGCGGAGCAUGAGAUCAGGAACAUCUCCUGCGCUGCCCAAGACCCAGAUGACCUCUGCACUUUUGCUUACAUUACCAAGGAUCUUAAGAGUGGCCACCACUUCUGUCAUGUCUUCAGCACUGUGGAAGUGACACAGACCUAUGAGAUCAUUCUAACACUGGGACAGGCGUUUGAGGUGGCCUAUCAGAUGGCGAUCCAGUCCAGGGCGAGACACUACGUCCCCCCUUCAUCUCUGGGCUCAGAGGUCAUAGAGACCAAAACCAGCCGUCCUGUAUCUCAGUCGUGGAGCAGCAUGCGGAGAUCAGCAAUUGACCCCCUGGAGAUGGACGCAGACAUGCAGUCCCUGGGAAGCACCACCUGGCUCUUGGACCAGCGGGACUCCAACAGGCGCCCCGUCAGCACCAAGUACGAGACCACCAUAUUCUGAGGCCGGAUUCCCACAGGCGCCCCUCUGCACCCUUCCCCCCCCCUCGUACUUUCCUCUCCCCCCUGCAUCUGGUUAUCUCUCAAACACACACAUACACACACACACCUAAUACAUGCGAGCCCCGUGCCUUCUCACUGUGAUGGUAUAGCAUCCCUCAGGGCUGCCUACUCCUGCACCCUUCCUUUGCCCUGCCCAAGCCGACCCACACCAACUCUCCUGCCCGCCAUGACAAAAUACUCCUGCGGCUCUCCCGUGCCUCCCCAACAACCCCUGGCAGCCUCCCUCGCCUGUUGCUGCUGUAGCCAAUGGCGGAGCCCUGGAACGGAUGAUCCUGGACUGAUCUCAUUUUACAGUGGCCCUGCUCUCUCAACCAAACUGCCUCUUCCUCCUCAUCCUCCUCUUCCUGACAACUUGCAUCUGCCUCCAAAUCCCCGAUAGCUCCCAGAGCCUGUCCUGUCUUACCAGGCAUCUACCACUGUGAGGCACUAUGAGGAGGCUACUUUGCUAGCAUGGGAUGCAAGACGGACAAUUAAUCAAUGAAAGACAAAAACAGCAACAUGCAGCAAACAACCUGUUGUAUUUUUUUUCUACUACGCAUUUGUACAAUACUCAUAACAACAACAACAACAAUGGACGAGUCAUGAACCAAUCACUGAUGUCUGAACUCAGAACGGACCAAGAACUACUGAACCCUCGUACAAACACACACACACACACACACACAUACAUACAUUUCCUACACUUUACAGAGGACAACAGCCUUACUUCAUUUCGGGUUAUCUAUAAUCAACUAAAGCCCCUCCACCCCACCCUACGCCAUCCACCUUCCCCUAGACCUGAACACCACCACCACCCAACAACUGCACGCCUCCCCCUGCUUCUAAAAGACUUUGAAAAAAAAAAGAAAAAGACAACACUUCUGAUUUCCUGGUGUAUUAAAUUGACUGUGACUGGCUGGGAUGACGUUGUUCUUUUUGAUGGUACAGUUUUGUCCAGAUGAGAGUCUUUGCUCUGGCCUUGUACUGCCCUGUGCCUCUCAGCAUUCAUGGUAGCACUGAGAGACUGAAAAUCAUAGCAUCAUCUUCUUGUCAAUUAAAAAAAAAAAAGAAUAGAAAAGAAAAAACACUGUGUUUAAACAUGGCACUAUCCCUUUUAAUACCUUCUUUCUUUUCUUAUGGUGCAAAUAGGACAUUAGUGGAUUUUGUGAUACUUUUUGAUAGACGGGGUCUGACUGAAAUAAUUUGGGGACAGAAUGAUAAAGAAGGGAUCAUGAAGGGAUCCCAACAUUAAUACAACCAGAGGUAAAAAUAAAACAAAAGCUUUACCACAAAAAAGAGAGAAAAAAAAAUACACAAGCAUAUGGAGUGUACUGACAUUGGUUCCACAUUUCACAAUUUUGGUAAUCUAAACAAAAACAUCCUCAAUGAUAUAUUAAUGAGCCCUGAGCACAGAUUUGGCACACACUUUCCCAACAUAGUAUCUUAUUAUCAUGAUUACAUGGCUAGGUAUCCAUGCAGUUUCACACCAAUUUAGAAUUAGGUACAGUACAUGCAAAGUAUGUCACUUGAAAAUAAACAGCAGUGAAAAGAUUUAAAUCCGCUACAUUAAAAGAGCCAAGUCUAAAAUGUUGCUCUGGUGUGGUGUUAAUGCGAAUGGAUUUGUUAUGCUAAGAACGUGACACCAUUUUUUUUUUUUUUUUUUAAGAAUUUCCCUCCUGCACUGUGACUGAAAAAUGCUCGUUGUGGAGUCGACACAUAUCUGUGGGUUCUCCCCCCUUGUGUGCACUACCUGCUGUGCGUGCUGUAUGCCUCGUUCUCUGUCUUGUCCUCAUGGGAGUUUGGACUGUUACUGUUACAUCACUUGGCCACUGUCCUUGUUUGUGCGUAUGUGUGCUGCAGGAUACGUGAGGUUUUGAGCUCCUGUUCUCCAGAAGAUGGUGUGUCUGGAGACUGACUGUUAAAGAUGUAACGGGUCUGUGUGCAGUACCGUGGCUGUGCCAUUGCCACUCUGUUCUGACUGUUAACUGUUAGCUUCCACUGACUGAUGCAUGUUGGCAGUGUUUUCUUUUUUUGUGUUUUGUAUCCUUUGAUGCACUUGGCCUGAGCAGUCUCUGUAUGUACUGUAGCAGUGUCUCGUCUCCUCUCGCUCAUCUGCCAUUUGCUUUUUAUGUUCCCUCUCUUCUUUGUUACACACCAAUACAGCGAUUCAUCUCCAUCCUUCC